rnacentral:rRNA from 1 species
AUUGAACGCUGGCGGCAGGCCUAACACAUGCAAGUCGAGCGGAGCGGCGGACGGGUGAGUAAUGCCUAGGAAUCUGCCUGGUCGUGGGGGAUAACGUCCGGAAACGGGCGCUAAUACCGCAUACUAUCAGAUGAGCCUAGGUCGGAUUAGCUAGUUGGUGGGGUAAAGGCCUACCAAGGCGACGAUCCGUAACUGGUCUGAGAGGAUGAGCAGUCACCCUGGAACGGAGACACGGUCCCGACUCCUCCGGGAGGCAGCAGGGGGGAAUAUUUGACAAUGGGCGAAAGCCUGAGCCAGCCAUGCCGCGGGUGUGAAGAAGGUCUUCGGAUUGGAAAGCUCUUUUAGUUGGGAGGCGUUACCAACAGAAUAAGCACCUGCUAACUUCGGGCCAGCAGCCGCGGUAAUAC